UUAUUAAUUUUACUAUAUUUUUAUAAUUUCUUUUUUAUUAGUUUUUAAAUUAAUUGAUUAAAUUUUUGUUAAAUUGAAUUUUUAUUAAUUUAGAAUGAGUAAUUAGUACCUUUUGUAUUAGGGUAUUUUAAUUAACUAAAGUAUUAUUUUUCCCGAAAUUAGGUUUUCUAAUUUAAUUUAAUUUUAUUUGUUUUAAAAAAUUUAUUAAUAUUAUUUUUGUAAUUAAAAGUUAAUCGUAUCUAAUUUUAUAUCUGGUUACUUUAGAUUAAAUUUAAUUUUAAAUUAUUUAUUUUAUUAUUCUUUUUUUUUAAUUUUAUUUUAUAAGGGAUAAUCUUUAUAUUUUUAUAUAAUUAUAAAUCUCACAGUUUUUAAUUUCUUUUAAAUUUUGUAUUUAGUUUUUAAUAAAUUAACUCUAUUCUAUAUGAUUUUAUGUUGUUUGUAUUUUUAUAAGGUUUAUUUAAUCUUUAUUUUAUUAUUUUAAAUAAUGAUUUAAUUAGUAGGAUGUUAAAUUUAUUAAAAUUGAAUUCGACAAUUAUAAUUUUCAACUGUUUACCAAAAACAUUUUUUUUAGUUGAUUUUAAAAGUAAGUUCUGCCCUAUGAUAUAUUAAAUGGCUGCAGUAUUUUAACUGUACAAAGGUAGCAUAAUAAUUAGUCUUUUAAUUAAGGGCUUGUAUGAAUGAAUAAAUGAGAAAUUUAUUAUAAUGAAUUUUAUUAUUUAAAUUUAAUCUUUAGGUAAAAAAGCUUAAUUAUUUUUUUGGGACGAAAAGACCCUAAAGAACUAUUUUUAAUUUUAAUUAUCUAAUUUUUAUUUUAUUUUAUUUAAUUAAAUUAAAUUUUAUUGGGGUGAUUUAUAAAUUUAAACUUUAUUUAAUUUUUUCUUUAAUUUAAGAUCUAUUUAGAUUCAUAGUUAUGAUACAAGAUAAAGUUACCUUAGGGAUAACAGCGUAAUUUAAAUGGGGAGUUCAUAUUUAUAUUUAAGUUUGCGACCUCGAUGUUGAAUUAAGAUAAUUUUAAGGGGUAGAUUUUUUAUAUUUAAGUCUGUUCGACUUUUAAAUUCUUACAUGAUUUGAGUUCAAACCGGUGUGAGCCAGGUUGGUUUCUAUCUUUAUAAAUUUAAUUUAUUUUAGUACGAAAGGACCAAUUAAAUCAUUAUUAUUAAUGUUAAUUUUUAAAUCAAAUGA
rnacentral:rRNA from 1 species